GCUGGCUAGUUUCUUCCUUUUGUGAAUAAUAAGUAUGAUACUCUAUCCCUUCGUCUAAUAGCAUCACCUUAACUCCAUUUACCACCAUGAACUGGAGUCUUGUUUUGGCUUUUUCUUUUACCCUUCUUUAAAAGCAUAGACACAUGGUUAAUAUCUCUUGAGGAUGAAUGGACCUCACCCUUCAACCACAGCAGAGCCUCAGCGGCAGCAUCCUUUUCUGCAAGUUUUUUACUACUGCAAGGCUGCCCCACAAAGUCCAACCCAUUAAAGAUCACAGUGGAGCGAAACUGGUUGUUUUUCAGUUGUUUUGUCUUAUAGGAGGGUGCUCCAUGUCCAGCCCUGACAAGCAAAGUUUGUAGCUCAUUUUUAGAAUUAUCAUAUGGCUGUUUGCCAGUCAUUGCAUCUUUCAUUGCCUUCUGUGAAGGUGCUGGCAGCUGGCGACCAAAUACAAAUUUACCCUCACAUUGAUCCUGUGAAACCAGUAAUCUUAUUGCCAUCAAGAGCUCAUUGUCAGAUUGUAUAUCCAAGUUGGGGUCUUGAAGUUUCUUCCGAAUUAGUUCCUCAAGCUCUCUCUUCAAGCUUAGAUAUGUAUUUCCCAAGGCAGGUACCAUAAAAAAUUCCAAGUAUCCUCCCAACAUUUUUAGGUGUCCAUCCAGUCCACCUCUUGAAAGGUCUCCUCCGAAUAAAAGCAACACAGAAUCAGAUACACCAGUAGAAUCCCGGAGAAACACAGAAUUCACUUUCACUUUUUCAUUAAAAACUAACCACGGGUAUGGAAUUUUGUGUACCCCAGCAUUCACAGAAUUCGAAUACAGAAGUACUUGACCAUCCUCCAUUGUUUUCAAUGCUAUAGACUUAUCCUUGUUCACAACAGAACAUAU
rnacentral:misc_RNA from 1 species